GAGAGAGUGCAGUUCAAGGCGUUUUCGGGUGUGUAGGAAGGUGAUGUCUCACGUAUGUUAGAGGAUGGAUCCUUCCAGUGCAUCAAUGCCAUAUAUUUCUGCGAGGAAGUCAUACAGACAGGGGGAGUGGCUCGCUGGAUCCUGCGAGGAGGAAGAAGAACCUGAGGAGGAAUAAGAGGAGGGUGCAGUGCAGUGUGUCUGUGUGUGUGUGUGUGUGUGCGCGUGCGAGAGAGAGAGAGAGAGAGAGAGAUCCUCCCGCAAAGGCUGGUCUGAAGGAUCGGAGGGGGGGGGGGGAGUGGAGCGACGAUUUGGGCGAUAACAACUGAGGAGAAAAGAUUCGAUCAAACAGCUCUUUGGAUCCCACCUCACCCGCCUACGUACGCUCCACCCCUCAGACAAUGCAAUCUUAGCCGGUUUUAGCGAGAUCUUGAGCUCCACACAUAGAUCUCCUGCCUUGUUUCUCUGCGUCAGGAUCCCCUUCCUUCUCCCCAUCUCGUUCGUCUUACAUCCUCAUCCUCCUGUGCUUCUUGUCCUUUUGUCGUUUCACGUACGUGUUCCGGAAGCCAGCAUGCCUUGGAGUGGCGGUAAUGGCGCGGGUGGCCUCAUAGUUUCUCAGCACAAGCACAGAUAAGAGAGGAGGAGGAGGAGCAGAGGGAAGACAAAGGAGAAGAAUGGUACUGGAUGAACAACGCAGGAGUAGCGCCGGCCGAGAUGGUUCCUGCGUCGCCGGAAUCAGAACAGUGAAGAAGCCGAAGCAAAAGAAGAUCCCGCAGCGCGGCCUCGGAGUCGCCCAGCUGGAGAAGCUCCGCCUCGAAGAGCAGCAGAAGAACGCCGCGUCUUCCUCAUCCGAUCCAUCGCAGCACCCGUACGUCCCUCUCCUAUCCAACGAAGGCGUGAUGAGACCCCGCGUCCUGCUCAAAGCUUCCGUCCCCGUCUCAGCUACAACCGCGGACCUCGUCGGUCCUGCACAGCCUCCGCCGGCGUCUGAAUCAUCGGCCAAGCACGCAGUUCUGCCACUCCUGUGGAACGCCGUCGAUCCGUACCCAACUGACGGCCACGCUGUCGCCACCAGGUUCGGGUUUCACGUCAGUUGCCGGAAGCAGCAGUCACCGGCCACAUUGGUGAACAUGGCGUCGUCGCCUAUGUCUUCUGGAGUUAAUCUUCGGAUAGAGCCCCCUUCAAACCAAAGUAAUCCCAAUAGCUCCGACUUGCCCUCGUGCUGGCGAGAGCAGGAGAGGAUGGUUGGCAUGAAGCGGCCAUGGCAAUUACAUCUCGACGGCGUCUCCACCCAGUCAUCCUACCCCUGUAAACUGCCUUCGUUCUCCAACUCAUGUCCUAAGCCAGAGGAAGUCCAAAGAGCUGGCUUUAGAGGAGGCACUUCUACUGAUGGCAGUUUUCUCAGCAUGGGUUCUCUUUCGACACCAGUCGCCAAGUCCUUCGACAACCCAUCGUUCUAUCAGCAUGAUCAUUCUGAUUUAGGUUUACCUCUUAGCCAGAUAAGCUCGGGUAAUGGCUGCUCUUCUCACGGGCAACCAUUCUACAGUUUCCUACCCAUGGGUCCAAGUUGCACUGAGGCAACACCGAGCGAGAGGAGAGGAGAAGCAGCGGACGGCAUUGAUCUCAACUUGAAGCUUUAGGAACCGUUCUAGGCUUUAGCUGUCAUCUCUGCUUCUCCGACGCAAGCGAUCAUGCUCCUGUUCUAAUGAACUGCACAAAGACUGGAUGGGUUAAGGUUGUCUUGAUCGGAGAACUUGAUUUGUAAUUUGAUAAGGGUGAAAUGGUCUGGCUCAUGGCAUAUAUGCGUUCAACACAUUCUCCUGAUAUGAUUUUGACAGCCACAAAAUAAUCACAGGGUGGUAAAAUAUUGGUGAUGUGUGAUGUGGAAUGAGAGGUUUCAUGGUGAUGAAGUAUAUCAUUUUCAGAAAACAAGCAGAAGAUAUUUGUAUUAAUGAAGCUAAUUAUUCCACUAUGCACAUGAAGAUAUGUAUUAAUG